rnacentral:rRNA from 1 species
UACGAAGGGAGCGAGCGUCAUUCGGAAUUACUGGGCGUAAAGAGCAUGUAGGCGGUUGACUAAGUUAGUUGUCAAAUCUCUCGGCUUAACCGGGAACAAGCAACUAAAACUGAUCGACUAGAGGACAAGAGAGAGAAGUGGAAUUCUCGGAGUAGCGGUAAAAUGCGUAGAUCUCGAGAGGAACACCGGUUGCGAAGGCGGCUUCUUGGCUUGUAUCUGACGCUAAAGUGCGAAAGCGUGGGGAGCAAACAGG